GAGAAGAACGUAGCGAAAUGCGAUAAGUAAUGUGAAUUGCAGAAUUCAGUGAAUCAUCGAAUCUUUGAACGCACAUUGCGCCCUCUGGUAUUCCGGGGGGCAUGCCUGUUCGAGCGUCAUUAUAACCACUCAAGCUCUCGCUUGGUAUUGGGGUUCGCGGUUCCGCGGCCCCUAAAAUCAGUGGCGGUGCCUGUCGGCUCUACGCGUAGUAAUACUCCUCGCGAUUGAGUCCGGUAGGUCUACUUGCCAGCAACCCCCAAUUUUUACAGGUUGACCUCGGAUCAGGUAGGGAUACCCGCUGAACUUAAGCAUAUCAAUAAGCGGAGGA
rnacentral:misc_RNA from 1 species